AAAAGCUACCCUGGGGAUAACAGGCUUAUCUCCCCCAAGAGUCCACAUCGACGGGGAGGUUUGGCACCUCGAUGUCGGCUCAUCACAUCCUGGGGCUGUAGUAGGUCCCAAGGGUUGGGCUGUUCGCCCAUUAAAGUGGUACGCGAGCUGGGUUCAGAACGUCGUGAGACAGUUCGGUCCCUAUCCGUCGCAGGCGUAGGAAAUUUGAGAAGACCUGUCCUUAGUACGAGAGGACCGGGAUGGACGUACCUCUGGUGUACCAGUUGUCCUGCCAAGGGCAUGGCUGGGUAGCUAUGUACGGAAUGGAUAAGCGCUGAAAGCAUCUAAGCGCGAAGCCAACUUCAAGAUAAGAUUUCCCACCGCAAGGGUAAGACCCCAGAAAGACUAUCUGGUUGAUAGGUCGAAGGUGUAAGUGCAGUAAUGUAUUUAGCUUAUCGAUACUAAUAGGUCGAGGACUUGACCAAU
rnacentral:rRNA from 1 species